GCCGCCUCCACCGCCUCGAACCCGGCGCGCGCCGCCGCCUCCAGCCGGGCCGGUAGAGCCGGCAGCUCCGGGAAGAGCCACGAGAGGGCACAGCGGAUUUACUCACUGCUGCUUGGCUGGCCAGGGCAGUGCAGUGCCAUGGGAUUGCUGUGCUGUAUCAUGCACCCUGCCUGCCCUGCAGGCACAGCCCUGUGUGCGCUUUACUGCCUCAUAGAAAUCAGCACUUGCUUACUAUUGGCCAGCUGAAAUUUUGGAGCAGACUCGUCCGUGACUCCUGCGAUGGCAGGGCUGGGAUAAUACAGCAACUCGGCAGCCAGUUCCCUGCCAGAAUUGCGGGGCGGUGCCUGUUGGGACCUGGGAAACUUGCUCUUGUUCAGCCGGAUUAAUGACCCAUGUCACAUGGGGAGCCUGGGGAGUCACUUCCCAGUUUGUGCUUUGACCCCAUGGUAGCGUCACUGCACCGCACAGGGAAAUGUGCUGUCCUCUCCCCAAAGCCAGGGCAGGGAUUUCUGCGUUCACGAGCGUGCUUCAGUCCCAGCCCUACUUCGUUGUGGCCCCUAAAAGCACUCGGCUAAAAAUCCAUACAUCAUAUCCUGGGAAACAAACGCACAGCCUCUACCAGCGUUAUGGCCAUCCUUCAUCAGUGAGCAGCGAGCCGGCUCUGGAUGCGAUAUAAAUCCCAGCAAAGCCAAGAUGGGAGGCAAAGACCGGGCACCCCACAUCCCUCACGUCAGCUUUCAGCCCCGAGCCAUGGGUGGGCAAUCCCCAUGCAGGUCUCUGGGGUGUUCUCCUAUCACCAGAUAUUAAUGAGGAGGCCAGAUUCUCCCCUAGCGCUUGGAGGAGGCCGGCACGGGCAGCGCCUGGGCCUGCUGAGCUGGCAGAUGUUGUUUAACAUUCCCGGCAGUAAUUAAUAGAUGGCUUCAUCACUCUUGUAUGAUUCAAACGUGUCGUCCCGCUUCUUUCCAAAUACAGAGCAGAAAUAUUUGUUAAA